UACCUGCAGCUCAAGUGGUGACCAUUAUUAUUGGGCCUAAAACGUCCGUAGCCGGCUUAGUAAAUGUCUGGGUAAAUCGUGUAGCUUAACUAUACGAAUUCCGGGUAGACUGCUAAGCUUGAGACCGGGAGAAGCUAGAGGAACUCCUGGGGUAGAGGUGAAAUUCUGUAAUCCUAGGGGGACCACCAGUGGCGAAGGCGUCUAGCUAGAACGGAUCUGACGGUGAGGGACGAAGCCCUGGGGCACAAACCGGAUUAGAUACCCGGGUAGUCCAGGGUGUAAACGCUGCUUGCUUGAUGUUAGUUGGGCUCCGAGCCCAACUAGUGUCGGAGAGAAGUUGUUAAGCAAGCUGCCUGGGAAGUACGGUCGCAAGGCUGAAACUUAAAGGAAUUGGCGGGGAGCACAGCAACGGGUGGAGCGUGCGGUUU
rnacentral:rRNA from 1 species